GAUGAAGAACGUAGCGAAAUGCGAUAAGUAAUGUGAAUUGCGGAAUUCAGUGAAUCAUCGAAUCUUUGAACGCACAUUGCGCCCGCCAGUAUUCUGGCGGGCAUGCCUGUUCGAGCGUCAUUUCAACCAUCAAGCCCCCGGCUUGUGUUGGGGACCUGCGGCUGCCGCAGGCCCUGAAAACCAGUGGCGGGCUCGCUAGUCACUCCGAGCGUAGUAAUACAUCUCGCUCAGGGCGUGCUGCGGGUUCCGGCCGUUAAAAAGCCUUAUUUACCCAAGGUUGACCUCGGAUCAGGUAGGAAGACCCGCUGAACUUAAGCAUAUCAAUAAGCGGAGGA
rnacentral:misc_RNA from 1 species